GUUGAUAAGGUUAAGUGAAUAAGGGCGCACGGUGGAUGCCUUGGCACUAGGAGCCGAUGAAGGACGGGACUAACACCGAUAUGCUUUGGGGAGCUGUAAGUAAGCUAUGAUCCAGAGAUUUCCGAAUGGGGGAACCCAAUAUCUUUUAUAGGAUAUUACUUUUCAGUGAAUACAUAGCUGAUUAGAGGUAGACGCAGAGAACUGAAACAUCUUAGUACCUGCAGGAAGAGAAAGAAAAUUCGAUUCCCUGAGUAGCGGCGAGCGAAACGGGAAGAGCCCAAACCAACAAGCUUGCUUGUUGGGGUUGUAGGACUCCAAUAUGGUAGUCUGUUAGUAUAGUUGAAGGAUUUGGAAAAUUCCGCUAAAGAGGGUGAAAGCCCCGUAGACGAAAUGCUAACAACACCUAGGAGGAUCCUGAGUACGGCGGAACACGAGAAAUUCCGUCGGAAUCCGCGGGGACCAUCCCGCAAGGCUAAAUACUCCCUAGUGACCGAUAGUGAACCAGUACCGUGAGGGAAAGGUGAAAAGCACCCCGGAAGGGGAGUGAAAUAGAUCCUGAAACCGUGUGCCUACAACAAGUCAAAGCUCGUUAAUGAGUGAUGGCGUGCCUUUUGUAGAAUGAACCGGCGAGUUACGAUUGCAUGCGAGGUUAAGUCGAAGAGACGGAGCCGCAGCGAAAGCGAGUCUGAAUAGGGCGAAUGAGUAUGUAGUCGUAGACCCGAAACCAUGUGAUCUACCCAUGUCCAGGUUGAAGGUGCGGUAAAACGCACUGGAGGACCGAACCCACGUACGUUGAAAAGUGCGGGGAUGAGGUGUGGGUAGCGGAGAAAUUCCAAACGAACUUGGAGAUAGCUGGUUCUCUCCGAAAUAGCUUUAGGGCUAGCCUCGGAAUUGAGAAUGAUGGAGGUAGAGCACUGUUUGGACUAGGGGCCCAUCUCGGGUUACCGAAUUCAGAUAAACUCCGAAUGCCAUUCAUUUAUAUCCGGGAGUCAGACUGCGAGUGAUAAGAUCCGUAGUCGAAAGGGAAACAGCCCAGACCACCAGCUAAGGUCCCAAAAUAUAUGUUAAGUGGAAAAGGAUGUGGGGUUGCACAGACAACUAGGAUGUUGGCUUAGAAGCAGCCACCAUUUAAAGAGUGCGUAAUAGCUCACUAGUCGAGUGACCCUGCGCCGAAAAUGUACCGGGGCUAAACAUAUUACCGAAGCUGUGGACUACACCAUUAGGUGUAGUGGUAGGAGA
rnacentral:rRNA from 1 species